GGAAGGGCCCCCUUUUUCCCUUCCGCUCCUGCUCCAGCGGCAAGAUGUGAUCCCAGCAAGGAGGGACGCCAAUAAGGAUGAGAUGCUACCUGUGCCACAUAACAGGGUAACUUUUGCCAGGGAUCAUAAGACAGGAUCUGGAGGUGUACCCCAAGACUACCUGGAGCAAGUAUAUAUCCCUGAAUCUGGAGCUCACCAAUUGGCUAGACUGACUGACCGAUGAUCUCUAAAGAUCAGCCUGACUUUGAAGAUCCCCCAUGGAAGAGCCUUCAUCCAGUAGCUGUUCGAAGCAGAAACAGGCACCCACAGCUAAGCACUGAACCAUACUCCUGGAAUUCAGUUGUGGAGAGGGAGGAGGGAUGAGCAAAGGAGCCAAGAUGGUGCUGCAGAAACCCACAGAAACAAUUGACCUGACCUACUGAGAGCAUGGAGACCAUAGUCAUAAAACUGGGGAAACAACAUUGGAUGCAACCAAGCCCUCUGAAUGUGGGAGCCAGCUAGGAAGCCAAGACAGUCUAUGGGACCUCUAACAGUGGAGCCAGUCUUUAACCCUCAAUCACAAAUGGACUUUGGGAACCCAUUCCCUAUGGAGGGAUACUAUUGCAGCCCAGAUACAGCAAGGAGGGCCUAGGCCCUCCCCCAAAUGAUAUGAUGGACUUUGAAGGUCCCCUGUGGAGGGCCUCACUAUCCCUGGGGAGGAGUUGGGGGAUGGGUUGCAGG
rnacentral:lncRNA from 1 species